GAUGAACGCUGGCGGCGUGCUUAACACAUGCAAGUCGAACGGUGAAGCAGAGCUUGCUCUGUGGAUCAGUGGCGAACGGGUGAGUAACACGUGAGCAAUCUGCCCCUGACUCUGGGAUAAGCGCUGGAAACGGCGUCUAAUACCGGAUACGAGCUGCGACCGCAUGGUCAGUAGCUGGAAAGAAUUUCGGUCAGGGAUGAGCUCGCGGCCUAUCAGCUUGUUGGUGAGGUAAUGGCUCACCAAGGCGUCGACGGGUAGCCGGCCUGAGAGGGUGACCGGCCACACUGGGACUGAGACACGGCCCAGACUCCUACGGGAGGCAGCAGUGGGGAAUAUUGCACAAUGGGCGCAAGCCUGAUGCAGCAACGCCGCGUGAGGGAUGACGGCCUUCGGGUUGUAAACCUCUUUUAGCAGGGAAGAAGCGAAAGUGACGGUACCUGCAGAAAAAGCGCCGGCUAACUACGUGCCCAGCAGCCGCGGUAAUACGUAGGGCGCAAGCGUUAUCCGGAAUUAUUGGGCGUAAAGAGCUCGUAGGCGGUCUGUCGCGUCUGCUGUGAAAACCCGAGGCUCAACCUCGGGCCUGCAGUGGGUACGGGCAGACUAGAGUGCGGUAGGGGGAGAAUUGGAAUUCCUGGUGUAGCGGUGGAAUGCGCAGAUAUCAGGAGGAACACCGAUGGCGAAGGCAGAUCUCUGGGCCGUAACUGACGCUGAGGAGCGAAAGGGUGGGGGAGCAAACAGGCUUAGAUACCCUGGUAGUCCACCCCGUAAACGUUGGGAACUAGUUGUGGGGUCCAUUCCACGGAUUCCGUGACGCAGCUAACGCAUUAAGUUCCCCGCCUGGGGAGUACGGCCGCAAGGCUAAAACUCAAAGGAAUUGACGGGGACCCGCACAAGCGGCGGAGCAUGCGGAUUAAUUCGAUGCAACGCGAAGAACCUUACCAAGGCUUGACAUAUAGAGGAAACGUCUGGAAACAGUCGCCCCGCAAGGUCUCUAUACAGGUGGUGCAUGGUUGUCGUCAGCUCGUGUCGUGAGAUGUUGGGUUAAGUCCCGCAACGAGCGCAACCCUCGUUCUAUGUUGCCAGCACGUAAUGGUGGGAACUCAUGGGAUACUGCCGGGGUCAACUCGGAGGAAGGUGGGGAUGACGUCAAAUCAUCAUGCCCCUUAUGUCUUGGGCUUCACGCAUGCUACAAUGGCCGGUACAAAGGGCUGCAAUACCGUGAGGUGGAGCGAAUCCCAAAAAGCCGGUCCCAGUUCGGAUUGAGGUCUGCAACUCGACCUCAUGAAGUCGGAGUCGCUAGUAAUCGCAGAUCAGCAACGCUGCGGUGAAUACGUUCCCGGGUCUUGUACACACCGCCCGUCAAGUCAUGAAAGUCGGUAACACCUGAAGCCGGUGGCCCAACCCUUGUGGAGGGAGCCGUCGAAGGUGGGAUCGGUAAUUAGGACUAAGUCGUAA
rnacentral:rRNA from 1 species